rnacentral:misc_RNA from 1 species
GAUGAAGAACGUAGCGAAAUGCGAUAAGUAAUGCGAAUUGCAGAAUUUCCGUGAGUCAUCGAAUCUUUGAACGCACAUUGCGCCCUUUGGCCAUUCCAUUGGGCAUGCCUGUUCGAGCGUCAUUCCCCCAAAAUCUCAAGCACUGCUUGGUGAUGGGCGCUUGUCCCGCCUUCUGCGCGCGGACUCGCCUUAAAAUCAUUGGCGGCCGGCAUCCAUUUUCCGCACGCAGCACACCGCGCGAGGGAAGGGAGAACCUGGCGUCCACAAAGGACAACCCCCCCAAUUUGACCUCGGAUCAGGUAGGGAUACCCGCUGAACUUAAGCAUAUCAAUAAGCGGAGGA